rnacentral:siRNA from 1 species
UCAGAAAUCCGCUCCGUGUCCGG